GACGAACGCUGGCGGCGUGCUUAACACAUGCAAGUCGAACGGAAAGGCCCUGCUUUUGUGGGGUGCUCGAGUGGCGAACGGGUGAGUAACACGUGAGUAACCUGCCCUUGACUUUGGGAUAACUUCAGGAAACUGGGGCUAAUACCGGAUAGGAGCUCCUGCUGCAUGGUGGGGGUUGGAAAGUUUCGGCGGUUGGGGAUGGACUCGCGGCUUAUCAGCUUGUUGGUGGGGUAGUGGCUUACCAAGGCUUUGAGGGGUAGCCGGCCUGAGAGGGUGACCGGCCACAUUGGUACUGAGGUACGGCCCAGACUCCUACGGGAGGCAGCAGGGGGGAAUAUUGCACAAUGGGCGGAAGCCUGAUGCAGCAACGCCGCGUGCGGAAUGACGGCCUUCGGGUUGUAAACCGCUUUCGCCUGUGACGAAGCGGGAGUGACGGUAAUGGGUAAAGAAGCACCGGCUAACUACGUG
rnacentral:rRNA from 1 species